UACGGGGGGAGCAAGCGUUGUUAGGAUUUACUGGGCGUAAAGGGCGCGUAGGCGGUCAGCACAAGUCAGUUGUGAAAUCUCCGGGCUUAACCCGGAAAGGUCAACUGAUACUGUGCGACUAGAGUGCGGAAGGGGCAACUGGAAUUCUCGGUGUAGCGGUGAAAUGCGUAGAUAUCGAGAGGAACACCUGCGGCGAAGGCGGGUUGCUGGGCCGACACUGACGCUGAUGCGCGAAAGCCAGGGGAGCGAACGGG
rnacentral:rRNA from 1 species